UACGUAGGGUGCAAGCGUUUGUCCGGAAUUAUUGGGCGUAAAGGGCUCGUAGGCGGUCCAUCGCGUCGGGAGUGAAAAGCUGGGGCUUAACCCCAGUCCUGCUUCCGAUACGGGUGGACUAGAGGUAGGCAGGGGAGAACGGAAUUCCUGGUGUAGCGGUGAAAUGCGCAGAUAUCAGGAGGAACACCGGUGGCGAAGGCGGAUCUCUGGGCCAUAACUGACGCUGAGGAGCGAAAGCAUGGGGAGCGAACAGG
rnacentral:rRNA from 1 species